rnacentral:rRNA from 1 species
GAGUAACGCGUGGGUAACCUGCCUUAUACAGGAGGAUAACAGUCAGAAAUGGCUGCUAAUACCGCAUAAGCGCACAGAGCUGCAUGGCUCAGUGUGAAAAACUCCGGUGGUAUAAGAUGGACCCGCGUUGGAUUAGCUUGUUGGUGGGGUAGCGGCCCACCAAGGCGACGAUCCAUAGCCGGCCUGAGAGGGUGAACGGCCACAUUGGGACUGAGACACGGCCCAGACUCCUACGGGAGGCAGCAUG